rnacentral:rRNA from 1 species
CCUACGGGAGGCAGCAGUGGGGAUAUGCACAUGGGCGCAAGCUGAUGCAGCACGCCGCGUGCGGGAUGACGGCUUCGGGUGUAAACCGCUUUCAGUCCGACGAAGCGCAAGUGACGGUAGGAACAGAAGAAGGACCGGCCAACUACGUGCCAGCAGCCGCGGUGAUACGUAGGGUCCGAGCGUUGUCCGGAAUUAUUGGGCGUAAAGGGCUUGUAGGCGGUUUGUCACGUCGGAAGUGAAAACUCAGGGCUCAACCCUGAGCGUGCUUCCGAUACGGGCAAACUAGAGGAAUGCAGGGGAGAAUGGAAUUCCUGGUGGAGCGGUGGAAUGCGCAGAUAUCAGGAGGAACACCGGUGGCGAAGGCGGUUCUCUGGGCAUUUCCUGACGCUGAGAAGCGAAAGCGUGGGGAGCAAACAGGCUUAGAUACCCUGGUAGUCCACGCCGUAAACGGUGGGCACUAGGUGUGGGGAACAUUCCACGUUCUCCGUGCCGAAGCUAACGCAUUAAGUGCCCCGCCUGGGGAGUACGGCCGCAAGGCUAAAACUCAAAGGAAUUGACGGGGGCCCGCACAAGCGGCGGAGCAUGCGGAUUAAUUCGAUGCAACGCGAAGAACCUUACCUGGGUUUGACAUAUACCGGAAAGCUGCAGAGAUGUAGCCCCCGCAAGGUCGGUAUACAGGUGGUGCAUGGCUGUCGUCAGCUCGUGUCGUGAGAUGUUGGGUUAAGUCCCGCAACGAGCGCAACCCUCGUCCUAUGUUGCCAGCGGAAUGCCGGGGACUCAUAGGAGACUGCCGGGGUCAACUCGGAGGAAGGUGGGGAUGACGUCAAGUCAUCAUGCCCCUUAAGUCCAGGGCUUCACGCAUGCUACAAUGGCUGGUACAAAGGGCUGCGAAACCGCAAGGUCGAGCGAAUCCCAAAAAGCCAGUCUCAGUUCGGAUUGGGGUCUGCAACUCGACCCCAUGAAGUCGGAGUCGCUAGUAAUCGCAGAUCAGCAACGCCGCGGUGAAUACGUUCCCGGG